AUUGAACGCUGGCGGCAGGCCUAACACAUGCAAGUCGAACGAGUGGCGGACGGGUGAGUAAUGUCUGGGAAACUGCCCGAUGGAGGGGGAUAACUACUGGAAACGGUAGCUAAUACCGCAUACCAUCGGAUGUGCCCAGAUGGGAUUAGCUAGUAGGUGGGGUAACGGCUCACCUAGGCGACGAUCCCUAGCUGGUCUGAGAGGAGGACCAGCCAAACUGGAACUGAGAAACGGUACAGACGCCUACGGGAGGCAGCAGGGGGGAAUAUUGCACAAUGGGCGCAAGCCUGAUGCAGCCAUGCCGCGUGUAGGAAGAAGGCAUUCGGGUUGUAAAGUACUUUCAGCGAGGAGGCGUUACUCGCAGAAGAAGCACCGACUAACUCCGUGCCAGCAGCCGCGGUAAUUC
rnacentral:rRNA from 1 species